rnacentral:rRNA from 1 species
UACGGAGGUGGCAAGCGUUGCUCGGAAUCACUGGGCGUAAAGGGCGUGUAGGCGGUCCGCUAAGUCUGAUGUGAAAGCCCGGGGCUCACCCCCGGAAGUGCAUUGGAAACUGACGGACUCGAGUCCCGGAGAGGAGAGUGGAAUUCCUGGUGUAGCGGUGAAAUGCGUAGAUAUCAGGAGGAACACCGGUGGCGAAGGCGGCUCUCUGGACGGUGACUGACGCUGAGACGCGAAAGCGUGGGGAGCAAACAGG